CGAGUCCCAAAUAGGACGAAACGCGUGUCCUGAAU
rnacentral:hammerhead_ribozyme from 1 species